rnacentral:lncRNA from 1 species
CUUGCCUCUGCUUCCUUCACAACCUUCUCCUUUUCUGGUUCAUUCACAACCUUCUGUUUUUCUGGCUUAUUCACAAACUUCGGUUCCGGUAUGUUAAUUUCCUUAACUUGGAAGCUCCUUUUCUCCACCUCAACAUAAAUCUCCUCAUCCACCACCACCUCCGCUUCUUCUUUUUCUUCUUCUUCAUCAUCAUCAUCAUUAUCAUCAUCAUCUUUGGAGACGAUCAUCCAGCUUUUUCCUUGCUUUCUUUCUUUAUGAAUACAGCUUGUAUGCUUUACUACCUUGAGGCUAUUACGAGAGAUUCCAGUUUUUGCUGUUCUUUUUUUUCGCAGCAAAAAAUUACCCAGAGAAAAAACUAACAGACAAACCUAAUAUCUCAAGUUAAAAUCAAAUUGAAGUCGAGAUCAACUCUCCCAAUUUUCAACUAAUCAUGAUUAAAGAAAACUUUGGUGGAAACAAUUUUCUUGCUUGCUUUCACUAUUUGGGUGCAUUUAAAGGACGAGUAAAAGAAUCAAGUUAAACUUAAAGCCCAAGUUGAAGCCAGAGAAAACUUAAUCAACUGAAAAUUUUGAUUGACUUUACAAUGUGUUGGCCAAUUAAUUGACCAAUUGAAAUAUCCGUUGUAAAAGGCCUACAAUCAACUCAGAACUAACUUGUGAUUAACUAAAACAACUGAAAAACUGACAACAUUGGUAAUGGAAAUAUCAUGUUCAGCUUGUUUUUUUCACUAUGAACUUCGUCUUCUACAUGUAAAUGGUUAAAAUUUCUCACAGUUGUCAUCGUCAUCAUCAUCUUCAUCUUCAUUAAUGUUGUCAGAGACAAGUUUUU